UCCCGGUGGCAACUACAGGAAGGAAGCCAUUACUACGCAGUGCGGAGAAAGAGGCCAUGGGAUGCAGCUGCCUGUCACUUGGGAGGAAGAGGUUCAAGACCCCAGACAGGACGGGAGUAAUCCGACCCUCCGGAGUAGCUGAGACUGACCUUAGAAAAACUUCCUACCGCCUCAUCUCAUGAACAUUUCCUGCUAAUGGACUUGCCCUGCAAGGGGGCACCCCCUCAUCCUGCUACCUUUAACUACAUUCCCAGCAUAAUAUCCCUCUUUGAGCCAACAUAUUCAUUUUGUAGGAUUUGUUCAUACAAUCACGGGUCACCUUUGAUGUUUAAGGUUAAUCACUCUCAUAUCAAAACCUCGGUGAGUGAGUUUACGCCGUCCUUCUGCCCAAUGGUGAGCAGAAUAGUUGAAUCUCUGCCGCCCGAGGUUGGUGAAUGAGUGACCAGGUGUUAACUCUCCCACACCUGGAGCUGUCCUAAUGAGGGCUGCUGUAGAGCACCUUUGAGCCUUUUAUCCUCAUCUCCCCUUCUCAAAAGAGUUACAGAACCCAUUUAGGCUACGGACAACUUUCUUUCACAACAAGAAGCAGUUAAUUAUAGUAUUUUCUGUUUUAUUGUAGAAAACCCACUGAACCUGCUGCACAUGCAUGCAAACCAACUUUCACUCACUCUCUCACACUUUCUCGUCUUAUCUAGAAAAGAUUUUCCAGUGCUGCAUUGCUGAUCUCUGUUUAAGCAAAAGAGCUGUGGCAUCCAUUCACAGUGAUCUAUUUAUUGGCUUCAGGCAGAAAUACCUAACCUAGGAUAUGUGGGUCCAAUUAUUAGUAAUCUAUUAAACCCUGAAACCUAUAAAUGGUUACUUUGCAACUCUCUGAGCUAAAGAUGGCUCAGAUGCUCUAUACUCUAAAUCCCUACCUGGUUAAUGAGACAUUGAACCUAACAGCCCUUCUUCCAGCUCCGCUGUCCCCUCCUGGGGCCUCUGAGGAUACUGUAAUUCCAUUUACCUUCUUGUCCAAGAGCUGCUGAUACUUUGCUUAAUCAGUGGAUGUAUAGGAAAGCACGUGCCUAUGCAAACCAAGGGGUGGUCUCUGGAUGGGAUGGCACUUGCAUGCGUGAGUUUUGGGACAGUGGGUGUCAUUGGGGCUGCUGCCCCUCCUGGUCUAAGCACUAUUGGCAAAUCCAUCAAGGAGGUGAUGCAUCAGCUCCCUACAAGCCCGCUCCAAGCAGCCAAAGCUCUGACAUGUUGUCACCUUGGUAACUGCUGCUGAAAAGAAUGGCCUGCUGGGAUAGCUGAUCUCAGUUGGCGGAACGCCAUGACGCAAAGGCAGGCGUGUGGCUGGAGAUGUCACCAGACCCCUGAGGACCAUCGAUCCCCCCAACAUCUCCACCACAAGAGCGUGGCAACUUAACAUUUGGGAUCAGAUGGCAUGUGGAAGCCAUGGAUUUGAGUGAUUAAUGGAACUCCAAUUAUCCUCAGCCUGGGAGGGGGCCGCGAAGCACAGACAUCCUCAAACCCGGAGACUUGGGAACAAAUACAAAGUUACACUGUGCAAUUGAGAAGCACUUUACCACUGAAACCUGCAAUAAACAAACAACAUUUCCCUUAAGGCCUCAUAUUGUUAAUAUUAGUAAAUUACUCUCUGUAUUUUGGACAGAACAAAUCUCAUGGCUUGGAUAAAGGCUUCUUGCAAAACCUGUUAAAAAGCAAGCAUUUUUUGUAUACUAAUAACCGAC
rnacentral:lncRNA from 1 species